GUGGGGAAUCUUAGACAAUGGGCGCAAGCCUGAUCUAGCCAUGCCGCGUGAGUGAUGAAGGCCCUAGGGUUGUAAAGCUCUUUCAGCUGGGAAGAUAAUGACGGUACCAGCAGAAGAAGCCCCGGCUAACUCCGUGCCAGCAGCCGCGGUAAUACGGAGGGGGCUAGCGUUGUUCGGAAUUACUGGGCGUAAAGCGCGCGUAGGCGGACUGAAAAGUUGGGGGUGAAAUCCCGGGGCUCAACCUCGGAACUGCCUUCAAAACUAUCAGUCUGGAGUUCGAGAGAGGUGAGUGGAAGUCCGAGUGUAGAGGUGAAAUUCGUAGAUAUUCGGAGGAACACCAGUGGCGAAGGCGGCUCACUGGCUCGAUACUGACGCUGAGGUGCGAAAGCGUGGGGAGCAAACAGGAUUAGAUACCCUUGUAGUCC
rnacentral:rRNA from 1 species